CCUACGGGAGGCAGCAGUGAGGAAUAUUGGUCAAUGGGCGCGAGCCUGAACCAGCCAAGUCGCGUGAAGGAUGACUGCCCUACGGGUUGUAAACUUCUUUUAUCAAGGAAUAAAGUCAGGCACGUGUGCCUGUUCGUAUGUACUUUAUGAAUAAGGAUCGGCUAACUCCGUGCCAGCAGCCGCGGUAAUACGGAGGAUCCGAGCGUUAUCCGGAUUUAUUGGGUUUAAAGGGAGCGUAGGUGGGUUGUUAAGUCAGCUGUGAAAGUUUGCGGCUCAACCGUAACAUUGCAAUUGAUACUGGCAGUCUUGAGUACAGUAGAGGUAGGCGGAAUUCGUGGUGUAGCGGUGAAAUGCUUAGAUAUCACGAAGAACCCCGAUUGCGAAGGCAGCUUACUGACCUGUAACUGACAUUGAGGCUCGAAAGUGUGGGUAUCGAACAGGAUUAGAUACCCGAGUAGUC
rnacentral:rRNA from 1 species